GACGAACGCUGGCGGCGUGCCUAAUACAUGCAAGUUGAGCGCUGAAGGUUGGUACUUGUACCAACUGGAUGAGCAGCGAACGGGUGAGUAACGCGUGGGGAAUCUGCCUUUGAGCGGGGGACAACAUUUGGAAACGAAUGCUAAUACCGCAUAAAAACUUUAAACACAAGUUUUAAGUUUGAAAGAUGCAAUUGCAUCACUCAAGGAUGAUCCCGCGUUGUAUUAGCUAGUUGGUGAGGUAAAGGCUCACCAAGGCGAUGAGACAUAGCCGACCGUAGCGGGGGAUAGGCGACAUUGGGAGUGAGACACGGCCCAAAGGCCUGCGGGAGGCAGCAGUAGGGAAUCUUAGGCAAUGGACGAAAGGAUGACAGAGCAACGCCGAGUGAGUGAAGAAGGGUGUCGGAUCGUAAAACUCGGUUGGUAGAGAAGAACGUUGGUGAGAGUGGAAAGCUCAUCAAGUGACGGUAACUACCCAGAAAGGGACGGCUAACUACGUG
rnacentral:rRNA from 1 species